CAGAGACAGAUUGUUAUCCUCUUUUACAACGAAUGUGGCAGGCUCAGUGACCUCAAUUCGGCCCCACUUGUCAACAGCUAGCCUCAUGGAACCCUUAAACAUGUCAAUCUUAGCAUUCCGGAGAAUUACUGUGGUUCCUGGCUUCAUCAAGUCAACUUGAUCAUUACGGGCGGUGAAGAGGAUGGUGCCGGUCUCAUCACCGACGAGACAUUCGGCGAUGCGUGUAUUGCGGAGACGGUUAGAAGAGGCGGGGGCUCGGCCCUUUUGCAAAACCGUAUUGGAGUUCAAGACCUUGGCGAUCAGGGUGUGGCCAGUGGUUCCAGGCUUAAGCUGAUCCACUUUAAUAAAGACCGGCUUUCUCUUCUCUGUCUUGUUUGUGUUUCCCUGUUGCUGAUGCUCCUGAUUUGUUGUCGUUGUUGCCAUUAAUUUUG
rnacentral:misc_RNA from 1 species